rnacentral:misc_RNA from 1 species
UGGUUCUGGCAUCGAUGAAGAACGCAGCGAAAUGCGAUAAGUAAUGUGAAUUGCAGAUUUCAGUGAAUCAUCGAAUCUUUGAACGCAUAUUGCGCCCUUUGGUAUUCCGAAGGGCACACCUGUUCGAGCGUCAUUAUCAACCCUCAAGCCUGGCUUGUUAUUGGGCUCUUAUCGUUAAGAUGAACUUUCGUUAAGACUUUAGUUAAGACGAACUUUCGUUAAGACGAUAUGCCCCAAAGAUAACGGCGGUGUUAAAAUUAACCUCAGGUGUGACGAGCUACUCAGCAUGCACUGUGGUGGUUGUUUUGACCUUGCCUAGUUAAAAAUUCUUAACUAAGGUUGACCUCGGAUCAGGUGGGAAUACCCGCUGA